rnacentral:rRNA from 1 species
AGUGAACGCUGGCGGUAGGCCUAACACAUGCAAGUCGAACGGCAGCACAGUAAGAGCUUGCUCUUACGGGUGGCGAGUGGCGGACGGGUGAGGAAUACAUCGGAAUCUACUUUUUCGUGGGGGAGAACGUAGGGAAACUUACGCUAAUACCGCAUACGACCUACGGGUGAAAGCAGCGGAUCUUCGGAUCUUGCGCGAUUGUAUGAGCCGAUGUCGGAUUAGCUAGUUGGCGGGGUAAAGGCCCACCAAGGCGACGAUCCGUAGCUGGUCUGAGAGGAUGAUCAGCCACACUGGAACUGAGACACGGUCCAGACUCCUACGGGAGGCAGCAGUGGGGAAUAUUGGACAAUGGGCGCAAGCCUGAUCCAGCCAUACCGCGUGGGUGAAGAAGGCCUUCGGGUUGUAAAGCCCUUUUGUUGGGAAAGAAAAGCAGCAGGUUAAUACCCCGCUGUUCUGACGGUACCCAAAGAAUAAGCACCGGCUAACUUCGUG